rnacentral:lncRNA from 1 species
AAGGACUUACAUGAGGGGGCACUGGGAGGAAAGGAAGGGCUGAUAAUGGGCUGUAAAGUGAAUAAAUAAAUUUAAUAAAAAAUAUUGAUGUGUAUGCAUGCUUUCUCUGUGUGUAUGUGAAUGCAUCAUAUGUGUGCCUGGUACCUGUGGAAGUCAGAAGAGAGUGUUGGAUUCCCUGGAACUGGAGUUAUGGGUGAUUGUGAGAUACCAUGUGGUGCUGGGAACUGAACCUAGGUCCUUUGCAAGAGCAACAAAUGCUCUUAACUGCUGAGCCAGCUCUCUGGGCCCUAUAUAUUAUUUAUUUAUUUACUUAUUUACUUAUUUACUGAGGAGGAUGUAUCGCAGUGAGUGUGUGGAGGUCAGAAGACAACUCUCCAGGAAUUGGUUCUUUAUUUACACAUUGUUAAGGCAGGGUCUGUCUCCCGUGUUUUUGCUGCUGUGCUGGGUAUGAAAGCCUCACCCCAUCCCAAUUCUCUGGUCCCUACCUUCCAUCCCCCACCAUCCUGCUGGCCCUAGUUUAUGUCUUCUAGAAAUUACUCUCCUAGCUAAUAUCUAAAGGGUGGGAAUUACCCAUGUCAUUUUUGAGAGUACAGUAUCAUGCAUUUGGAAUUUUAUAUGAAAAAUAAGUAUCUCAUUCCAGUUGAUAAGUUCAGGUUAUUUGCUUGCAUUGGAAUAGAUUCAUAGAUAGCCUCUGCUACUGUUGGUUAUGAUGUAAUCCUGUGUAUGUGUAUAGUUUGUGAGGGCAUUAUGACACACUGUGGGCUUAGGUAGCGUGAACAAUAGGAAUUCAUUGCCUCAGAAUUGACUCAAGCUAAGAUCAAGGCUGUCUGCAAGGGCUGUUUUGUUUUCUUUGUCUUCACCUUCUUUUGUGUAUGAAUCCAUUCCAAAUCCCCUGUUUAAUGUAAGGACCCUUUUAUCUUGGAAUAGGGCCCACUUGUUUUUGGAGGUGGGGUAUGGUCUCUCUGUGUAGCCCUUGCUAUCCUAAAACUCAGAGCUCUGCCUGCCUCUGCUUUCUAAACGCUGGGGUUACAGGCCAUGUGCCAACUGGAAGUUUUUGUUCAGUCUUGUGUAACCACUAAAAUUUCUCAGAUGUUUAAUAGUUUAGCGUGCUUCAUUCUUAUUUGUUUUCUAAAGUAAUUCAGAGGUUGGCAAGAACAAAGAAUCCAAUGGUGGGGCCUAGUGCAACAGAAUUAGUCUGGUUUCUUACAGGGUAGCCCAUUCUGAUGCUUCCUAGGGUCUUUAAACUCCAUUUUUCAGUUGGCAAGUUUCCUGGAGUUCUCCUUAGUUUUCUUAUUCUGGUCUUUCUCUGUUCCUACAUGUUAAAGUAACCUCUGCCCCGUCCCACCCCACCCCCUCUUACUUUCCUCUCUCCACACCUCCCUCCCUCAUUUCCCUAACAUUUAGAUUUUAUCAUAGCACACUGAGGGAUGACUGGCUCAGUGGGUAGGCAUUAUGAUACUGUCUCAAAGGGGAAUGCUGUAGUUUUGACCUCAAUUGUGUUCCUUUGCAUUUAAGUUAGGUUUAGAGAAAUACAAGCCUCCAAAAGUGAAAUGUGCAUAGGCAUGAAGUAUUGCCGCUGACACCUGCUAUGCAAAAGUUGGCAAUGAGCCUUGGAGUUAAUAGCAGGUACAGAGAUUUUGGUGGCUGAGAGAAGGCCUUUGGGAGAACCAAGAAAUAGUUGGUGUAGGGGCGUUGUUCUGUUUGUGGAUAUGUGUGUGAAGCUGUAUGUGGGAAAAUGCUGUUCUAGGGUGUAAAAGUAUCAGUUCUUUCUGCAUCUUCUCUGCCUGUUGAAAAUGGAGUAUCGAUAGCCAUUACAGAUGGCAUGUAACACUGUUAAUGUCAGCCUCACCUGUUACCUAAUUAUAAUUUUAGUAGUUUUUAGUAUUACCCUUUAUUAUAUGAGUAGUGGAAGGAAACUGUUGGCUCUACUAAUGAAAAUGUAGCUAUGAAGGAGAAUGAUUGAGAACACAACCAAAGGUACAAAGACUGUUGUGGGGUGUGUGUGUGUGUGUGUGUGUGUGUGUGUAACCUGACACAUUUAGCUCCUUUUUUGCCCAUGUAAUAUAUACAUUUAUAUACAUUUCAAUUAUUCUGUCAUACUGGAAAACACCUCUCCCAGUAAAUCUUUUAGCGUUAGAGGUAUUUUUCACCCUUCACGGUGGUAGAUUAAGGUUUUACAAAUAGUUUAAAAAGUUACUCACUGCACUAUCUGAUGAUGAGUCAUGUAUAUAAGAGAAAUGAACUAAGUUUUUGGCUUAUGAGUGUUGUGACUAUUGAAAGAGCACUCUUAGAAGCUAGAUGGCUCCCUUUUCAGAGCCACAUUGGGUUCCCAGUAUUCAUGACAGAUAUGGCUUACAAAGACCUGUAACUCCAUCUGUAGAGGAACCCAAAUGCCUCUGGCCUCCACAAGUACCUGUU